GCAAUAACACUUAAAGAACUGUUGAACUGUAACAGCUCUGUGGCCAUCACAGGAAACACAGAGAAUUCAGAAUACAGAACAAAAAGACAGUUCAUUUACAAUCUCCAUGAACGUUUCAGAGCAGGCAGAAUUCAGGGAUGACCUCCGUCUGUGUCAGGUCAAACAGAGAGCUCCAGGACGGCUUCUUUGGUCGUUACAAGACAAGCAAAGAGUUAGAGAUCAUAGAUAGAUAGAUAGAUAGAUAGAUAGAUAGAUAUGAAAUCUGUACUGGAGAUGGCUUGGCAUUUCUGUAAUGGUUAGCUGUGAUCAGGUGUUUAUCUGCUCCUCCUGUCAGACUAGAUAAGUUCUGUCUCCUCAUCACCUGUUCAGUCUGUCAGAGUUCUAGCAGUAGACAGACAACACAACACAACACAACACAACACAACACAGAGAAGAUUAGAUAGAACACGGCAAGUCACUUUGAAGAAACUCCUUUUCAAAUGUGCAAAGGCAAAAGAAGAAACCUGAAGAACUGGAUGCUCCCAAAAUAGAAGUUCUGAAUUCCUGUGAUGCCAUUUAACUUUCAAACCUGAGCGACAGGAUGACAGAAACAUUUUGGCAUCUGCAAGAUUUCACCUGAAGAAAAUAACUACAGUAUUUGUCACUGAGUACAACAUGUAACUAGAAACAAACAAUAUUUCAUCUUAGAAAAAGAAUCAAGAAGGAUGUAUUUUAUCUUCAGAAGUCAAGCACAAGACCCAGAGAUCUUCAUUAAAGUUGCUGCUUCAUCUUAGUGUUUGCCGUGCUGAUAAACAACGUGUGUCUGCAGGGCAUAGUAGAGGGUGUUAUUGGUGGUUCUGUUGUCCUGCUGUGUUCUUCAGCUGAACAUGAUCUUAAACUUCAAGACACUGAUGUGCACUGGAGAGACAACAAUGACACAAUUAUGUAUAGUAUAAUUAAGGGUGAACAUUCAUUAGUAGGACAAGACCCACAGUACAAGAACAGAGUUGAAACAUUUCCUGAUGAGUGUCUGAGAGGAAACUUCUCCGUCAAACUUGCUGCUGUCACUCACGCUGAUGAGGGAAAAUACAUCUGCUACAUCACAAACCCAUCUGAUUCUCAACAGAAGACUGUCCAGCUGAUCAUAAAAGAAUCAAAAGCAGAAAAAGGAAACAAAUCCAGUGAUCAAGAAGAAAACGGGGCAGACAGUGUGGGGAAAUCAUUGCUCUGGGUUUCAAUUGUAGUAGCUUUAUUAGUAUUGUCAAUAGGGCUUAUAGCCGGUUUCAGCAUAUUUCACUUGAGAAAAAGAAAUCAAGCUACUUCACUUUCCUCUGUUUCAACUGAAGAACAAAUAACAGUGCCGUGAAUUACAAAUGAAUGUAAAAGUAAUGGAUCAGAAACCAAUGAAAUGGCAUCAUUGUCAAAUACUUAAAAAGUAUGAUUUGUUAAGGUUUAAUCUUGUUUUUUUUUUUCACUUAUAAAAACAGUAUUUAAGUGUAUGACUUGUAGUGAUGAAAAACACAGUAGUGAUGGGGCAAAGAUAAGAGGGGCAGAAAGUGGGAAUUGUAGAGUUCGGAGAUUCAGAACUACUGUGAGUCAAUCAGCCUUUUCAGUGAAAGGUUCACGUGUAUGGAUCAGCAAACAAAUUUGGCCCAGAUUUGGCAUGCAUCUGGCACAGCUGGCAUUCAUCCAGCACUGGUAUACAGCAUGUGGGCCAAACAUGGCCCGGGUUUGGCGGAGGUGGUACCGGGUUUAAGACGGCACACAAGACAUGGGCCAGAUGUCAAAUGUAGAUAUGUGGGCCACAUAAGUAUUGCCGAUCUUGACCCACAUUUAAAAUCCAUUUCAAAUAUUUUUGACUAAAAUCCCAAUGUUUUCCCAUACAGAAAGGUAAUAUAUUCACAUAUAUGUGAAACACUGUUAAAUAUAUUGAAAUACAU